UACGUAGGGGGCUAGCGUUGUCCGGAUUUAUUGGGCGUAAAGAGCGUGUAGGCGGCCAUGUAGGUCCGGUGUGAAAACUCGAGGCUUAACCUCGAGAUGUCAUCGGAAACCAUUUGGCUAGAGUCCGGAAGAGGAGAGUGGAAUUCCUGGUGUAGCGGUGAAAUGCGCAGAUAUCAGGAAGAACACCCGUGGCGAAGGCGGCUCUCUGGGACGGUACUGACGCUGAGGUGCGAAAGCGUGGGGAGCGAACCGG
rnacentral:rRNA from 1 species